CUUUGUACCGAAAAAAAAAAACAUUAAAAAAGGGAUUAGAUUAGUUGACAACUUUCCAGAUUAGGGUUUGAGUCUCCCCGACUCUUCUCUUCUUCUUCAACACACUGCGCAUGCUCUCUCUUCUUUGCACUCUCUGAUUUCAAGAUAACUCAAGAAUGGAGGAAGGCGAAGGCGGGGAUCCCAUGGAUCAGUUCCACCGUAACGAGGCUAUAUCCGCCGUCGCCGACGAGGGUUUCUUGGGCGAGGAAGACGACGACUACGAGGACCUUUACAACGACGUCAAUGUCGGUGAGGGCUUCCUCCAAUCGCUGCGUAAAAACGACGAUCUAGCGUUUCGAAACGACGAUGCCGUUCAGGACAACAGCAAGAAGCCCCAACAAGAAGCUGUCGCUGGGGUUUCGAUUCCUGGUGUAGGUGGUGGUGGUGAGGGACCCGGUGGUGGUGGUGGUGGUGGGGCUGUGGAUGGUGCUUCUAGGGUUUCUGGGUUUCAGAAUCAGGGGUUUAGAGGGAAUGAUUUGGGUGCAAAACAAGGUACUGGUGGAUCUGGAAUUAGGGUUGAGUUGGGUCAGCCAUCUGGGAAAGUGAGUGAAAUUGAGGAUCGGAGUGGAAAUGGUGCUGGUGUUGGUGGUGGUGGUGCUGCUGCGGUGCAAGGGAUUGGACAGCAGCCUCAUGGUGGUGGUGGUGGUGUUGUGGGCUCCGUUGGGAAUGAGGGUUUGGCCAGGCAAAGUGGUGGUGGCGGUGUUGGAGUUGCAGCUGGAGGAGAUGUUAAUAGGAUUGGUGGGAAUGGGAUCGGGAACAGUGUGGGUGUAGUUAAUACUAUUAACACUGGUGGACCUGGACCUGGACCUGGACCUGGUGGUCCGGUGGGUGCUGGCAGUGCUGUUGCUCCUGGUGGUGGCGGCGGCGGUGGAGGUACCAUAUUGUUUGUGGGUGAUUUGCAUUGGUGGACUACCGAUGCUGAACUGGAGGCUGAGCUCUGUAAGUACGGCCCUCUCAAGGAGGUGAAGUUUUUCGAUGAGAAAGCUAGUGGGAAAUCUAAAGGGUAUUGCCAGGUUGAAUUUUUUGAUCCUGCAGCUGCCACUGCCUGUAAGGAAGGCAUGAAUGGGCAUAUGUUUAAUGGAAGGCCUUGUGUUGUUGCCUAUGCUUCGCCUUUUACAGUUAAGAAAAUGGGUGAGGCUCAGGUGAAUAGGAACCAGCAGAUGAACCAAACAGCAGCUCCUCAGGGAAGGAGGGGGCCUGCUGAGGCAGGGGCUAAGCCUGCUGGGAGUAAUAUUACAACUGGCGGUAACUACCAAGGUGGAGAUGCAAAUAGAGGUUAUGGAAGGGGUAACUGGAGAGGGAAUAAUCCUGGGAUGGGUAAUAGGGGGCCUGUUAAUCCUAUGAGGAAUCGAGGAGGUGGUAUGGGUGGUAGAGGUAUAAUGGGAAAUGGUGGGAAUGGAUUUGGACAGGGCAUGGGUGCUACACCUCCUAUGAUGCAUCCUCAGUCAAUGAUGAAUCAGGGUUUUGAUCCUGCAUUUGGUGGUCCCAUGGGUAGAAUGGGUACCUAUGGAGGCUUUCCUGGUGCUCCAACACCUCCAUUCUCUGGCAUUUUGCCUUCAUUCCCUGGUGUUGGAGGUGUUGGUUUGCCUGCACCCCAUGUUAAUCCUGCCUUUUUUGGAAGAGGGAUGCCUGUGAAUGGCAUGGGGAUGAUGCCUGGAGCUGGUAUGGAUGGACCUAAUAUGGGAAUGUGGUCUGAUCCCAAUAUGGGUGGAUGGGGUGGUGAAGAGCCUGGUGGCGGCAGGGCCGGAGAGUCAAGUUAUGGGGAGGAAGCUGCAUCGGAUCAUCAGUAUGGUGAGGCAAGUCAUGAUAGAAGUAACUGGCCUAAUUCUAUGAGGGAAAAAGAUAGAGGUUCGGAAAGGGACUGGUCUGGCACAUCUGAAAGGAGGUACAGGGAUGAUAGAGAUCAAGGAUAUGAGAGAGAUGCACCCAGAGAAAAAGAUGUGGGCCAUGAUCAUGAAUGGUCCGAAAGAAGGCAUCGUGAUGACAGGGACAUUGGUCGAGAAAGAUCUCGAGACCGUGAUAGGGAAAAGUCUAGAGACCGCGAUCGUGACCGUGAUCGUGACCGCGAAAGGGAUCGUGAACGAGAUCGUGAUCGUGACCGGUACAGGGAAGACAGGGACAAAUAUGCAGAUCAUCAUAGGUACCGUGAUCGUGAAGCAGAGCAUGAUGAUGAAUGGGAAAGGGGGCGGUCGUCGAGGACACACAGCAAAUCACGGUUAUCUCAAGAGGAGGAACAUCAUUCUAGGCCCAGAGAUGCUGAUUAUGGGAAGCGGAGGCGGAUGACCUCCGAGUAGUUCUAUAUGCUGCCUUAUUAUUUUUCCAUUGCAGAAGGAAAGAAUAGUAACUGAGAAGUAAUGGUUUGUCGUGCCUUUUCGGGAUUCUUCGGUUGUGCUCCUCUGGUCCAGAAGUUGUUGAGCAUCUGUUCCAUUUCAAUCACUUGUUCUGAUUGCUUCUUGUUAGGAGCAUGGCUUUGGUUAUCUUCGAGGAAGGAACAAAUGUGUUGAGAAAGGAAACUGGUCAUUCAAACUCUGGGUUGCUGUGGGGGAUCAACAAUCAAGCCUUCAAUAUUGCUCCUUUUUAUUACAAAGAGAAGUGGAACAUUUACUAUGAACUUUUUAGCUUUUGAUUUGAGUUUAUGUUUUAGUUAUUAGCACAUGAAAAGAAAAACCGAAGUUGUUGAUGUAAUGGGUUUAACUUGCUGAAGUCUGUAAUGUAGAAGACUGCUUAGAACUUAUGUUUGAUUGAUGUAUUAGGAUUUAGCACAGGAUGUUGCUAUUGUGCCCCGUUUCUGAUUGGCUCGCUGUUGUAUCAUUUUUUUUUCC